rnacentral:sRNA from 1 species
GGCAAGGUAGGUUGGCGGCCUCCUCUCAGACGGAACUUUUCUGCUUGGGUUAAGGAAAACGCUUUUUGGAGUCAGGCCCUGGAGCGGCGGGCCUUGCUCACCGGGUGGGGAUACAGCCGAUUACCCGCCCUGUGCCCUCCGAUGGCUUCUGCGGGGCGAGCGGGGCCUGGCUGGGGGGUGCGGGCGGGAGGGCCAGCCGGCGGCGCCUGCAGCCCGGGCCGCGUAACGCUGACCGCUGUACCUUCCGUUCUUCCAGGAGAAAGCCAUGUUCAGUUCGAGCGCCAAGAUCGUGAAGCCCAAUGGCGAGAAGCCGGACGAGUUCGAGUCCGGCAUCUCCCAGGCUCUUCUGGAACUGGAGAUGAACUCGGACCUCAAGGCUCAGCUCAGAGAGCUGAAUAUUACGGCAGCCAAGGAAAUUGAAGUUGGUGGUGGUCGGAAAGCUAUCAUAAUCUUUGUUCCCGUUCCUCAACUGAAAUCUUUCCAGAAAAUCCAAGUCCGGCUAGUACGCGAAUUGGAGAAAAAGUUCAGUGGGAAGCAUGUCGUCUUUAUCGCUCAGAGGAGAAUUCUGCCUAAGCCAACUCGAAAAAGCCGUACAAAAAAUAAGCAAAAGCGUCCCAGGAGCCGGACUCUGACAGCUGUGCACGAUGCCAUCCUUGAGGACUUGGUCUUCCCAAGCGAAAUUGUGGGCAAGAGAAUCCGCGUCAAACUGGAUGGCAGCCGGCUCAUAAAGGUUCAUUUGGACAAAGCACAGCAGAACAAUGUGGAACACAAGGUAAUAGGUCAACAUUUUAUCAUGGACAGGUUCAGCCACAGUGAGAGUGGAUUUUAGUGUAACCAGUCUCCAUGCGCCACCAUAGCAAUGACUGUAGUAAACUCAGGACUAGUUCUUUUACCCACACUUCAGCCUGCUCUCCUUUGGAUUAUGUGUCAGGUGUUAAAUGGAGAUGUUUCAAGAAUUGAACACUUGAAAUUCUCUGUACCUUUUGG